rnacentral:rRNA from 1 species
UCGAGGAUCUUCGGCAAUGGGCGCAAGCCUGACCGAGCGACGCCGCGUGUGCGAAGAAGGCCUUCGGGUUGUAAAGCACUGUCGAGGGGGAGGAAAGCCGCAAGGUCUGACCUAUCCCUGGAGGAAGCACGGGCUAAGUUCGUGCCAGCAGCCGCGGUAAGACGAACCGUGCGAACGUUGUUCGGAUUCACUGGGCUUAAAGGGCGCGUAGGCGGGCAAGCUAGUCCGGGGUGAAAUCCUCCGGCUCAACCGGAGAAGUGCCUUGGAUACUGCUUGUCUCGAGGGAGGUAGGGGUUGCUGGAACUUCCGGUGGAGCGGUGAAAUGCGUUGAUAUCGGAAGGAACGCCGGUGGCGAAAGCGAGCAACUGGAUCUCUUCUGACGCUGAGGCGCGAAAGCUAGGGGAGCAAACGGGAUUAGAUACCCCCGUAGUCC